rnacentral:lncRNA from 1 species
CUUUCUAAAGCUCUGAUCAGUCAAGAAGGGGGUUGUAUCAAUCCUCAGAACCCUGAGUGGAACUUUCUACAGGAUUUAUUAGGAGAAAAACCUUCCCGGAAGCUGCAGAAGGACAAAUACAGAAUCCGUGUCUGGGAGAAACCUCGUGGCCUGGUCUCCAUUAUUUGAGAUGAGUUACAUCUUGGAGGUGAGGACGUGCCUCGUGGU